rnacentral:tRNA from 1 species
GAGGUGUAGCGCAGUUUGGUAGCGCACAUGGUUUGGGACCAUGGGGCCGGGGGUUCGAGUCCCUGAUGGCCCACCA